AGGAUGAACGUUGGCGGCGUGCCUAACACAUGCAAGUCGAACGCAGAUAGCAAUAUUUGAGUGGCGCACGGGUGAGUAACACGUAGCUUAUCUACCUCAAAGCGCGGGAUAACAUGUCGAAAGACAGGCUAAUACCGCAUAAGCUCACGGCCUCUAGAGGGUUGUGAGAAAGGCGUAAGUCACUUUGAGAU
rnacentral:rRNA from 1 species